rnacentral:tRNA from 1 species
UCGGGGAUAGUUCAGAGGGUAGAACGCCUGGCUGUUAACCAAGAGGUCGCCGGUUCGAGCCCGGCUCCCCGAGCCA